rnacentral:misc_RNA from 1 species
AAUUGACUAUUAAUGAUAUGAAAAAUAAAUAAGGAAGACGUUGAAUGUUAUCAUAAUCGUAAUAAGAACGUCACAAUCCAAGACUAAGAGGCUUAAUUAAAAUUACAUUAAUUAUGAGUAGGUAAUUAAUAUCCAUUUUAUCGGCUCAUCGCUCCUUCAAACACCGGUGCCGUCGGAGCUGCCAUUGCCACUCCAUGAUUUUGUCCCUCUACAUUUCCAUGCCAACCGAUGGACAUGUCAAAUCCACGGCUUUGGAGUUCCCUGUAUUCUUGACAAAGGGAGCAAGUCUCGCAAAAGCAAUGGACCAAACAAUCAUUACAAGGGCUCUCCGGAAGCAUGUACUGCUGCCUUAGUUUGGAUCGAUAGGUACAGGAGUAAAUCCACCCACAACACCCAGUCAACCAUGUAAGCAACCCAUAAAUUGCUCCACCAGUUGUACAAGAUGUGGUUCCUUUGUCUAAGAUUUCAGCAAUCUGUCCGAAGGUGAUGCAGGGGCACCAACAUGUUAUGCA